GCCAGAGUCAUUCAACCCUCAAGAGCUGACAGUGAUCAGGGAAAAGAAGUAUGGUAGACUUCCAAAAGGACAUCUGUAUGUUUGGACACCAACAGAACAAGAAGAAUCAUCAAAGGAGUAAUGAAGUCACCAAGAGUUCUAGUCUAUGACCACUGACACUGGAACAAAAUGUCCCCAUUUGACAGACCAUUCCUGAGAAGAUUGAUCUGAAAAAUAUUGAAGGCAAUGAUCUUAUAGAAUGGCAGAUGAAGGAAGAAACACAAAAGCAGCAGCUCUGGGACUCACUCUUGUCUAGACAAUUGGCUUCUGGCUGGGUGCCUUAUAUCAAUGUUUCUAUAUCCAACUUUGAUGAUAAUCCCCUAAGGAUUUCUCUCAGCCUGUUCUUCACUGCAACCACUGUAAAAUCAUAGCAAAAACAAGGAUAAUGAAAAGAAGGUCACUUUGUACCCCACCUGGGUUCUAGAAUUAAAUCCAGCUCAGGUCAGAAAUAAGCCAUGGGACCCAGUUGCUGUCACCUACCAUCAGACCUCAGUGA